rnacentral:rRNA from 1 species
UACGAGAGCCCCAAGCGUUAUCCGGAAUUACUGGGCGUAAAGGGUGCGUAGGUUGUAAUGUUAGUCUUUCGUUAAAUCUCUGGGCUUAACCUAGAAACCGCGAGAGAAACGGCAUUACUUGAGAGUGUGAGAGGUUUGCGGAACUCAUGGUGUAGGGGUGAAAUCCGUUGAUAUCAUGGGGAACACCAAAAGCGAAGGCAGCAAACUGGCACACAUCUGACACUGAAGCACGAAAGCGUGGGUAGCGAAUGGG